rnacentral:misc_RNA from 1 species
AGAUGGAUCAUUCACAGCAAAUGAUUACACAUGCUGGUGCAUGCAUGCGUGCAUGCGGGCUUGGAACAUACGAAAUUAAGGAAAUUGGUUUUUGACUAGGACUAAACGAACUGAAAGAAAGUGGUUAUUGACUGGGACCAAACGAACUGUUAGCAAGUGGUUAUUGAAUUGGACUAAACGAACUGACAGCAAGUGGUUGUUGACUAAACGAACUGAAAGCAUGUGGUUAUUGACUUGGACCAAACGAACUGAAAGCAAGUGGUUAUUGACUCGGACCAAACGAACUGAAAGCAAGUGGUUAUUGACUCGGAACAAACGAACAUAAGGCCAGUGGUUAUUGUCUUGGACCAAACGAACUGAAAGCAAGUGGUUAUUAUUUCAAAUCAAAGUGUAUGGUUAAUUUCACGACUUUCAGCGAUGGAUGUCUCGGAUCUCGUAACGAUGAAGGACGCAGCUAGCUGCGAUAUGCAGUGUGACUUGCAAACUUCUGAGAAUCACUAGAUUUUUGAACGCAAAAGGCACUCUUGAGCUCUGCUCGGGAGUAUGCUCACUUCAGUGCUUUAUAUUUCUGUUGUCUUAAUUGGUAGACAACGUGGAUAGUCGCUGUUCUUACGGCCUCUGAAAUCGAAUGGUCCUCGACUCUUUGGUGAACCCAUAGAGUUACUGAUCAAGUUGUUAUUCAAACAAGCCUGAAUUUGAGCAAGGCUACCCGCUGAAUUUAAGCAUAUUAUUAAGCGGAGGAAGAGAAACUAACUAGGAUUCCCUUAGUAACGGCGAGUGAACAGGGAAGAGCUCAAACUGAAAAUCGGCAGCUUGCUGUUGAAUUGUAGUCUCGCGAAGUGCAACCUGUGUUUGUUUUGGGCUAAGUCUCUUGGAAAAGAGUACCAAAGAGGGUGAAAGUCCCGUCUUUACCCAGAAACAUUUACGUUCGGUGCAUUUUCAAAGAGUCGCGUUCCUUGUGAUUGGAGCGCUAAGUGGGUGAUAAAUUUCAUCUAAAGCUAAAUACUAACGAGAUUCCGAUAGCAUACAAGUACCGUGAGGGAAAGAUGAAAAGGACUUUGAAAAGAGAGUUAAAAGGAACUGAAAUCGCUGAAAGGGAAGCAGUUAGUCUUGGCCGUCCCGCAAAUCUGGGAGUUUGACUUAGUCGUAUAUGGCUGGUUUUGAACGCUAGAGUUCUGCGGUGACUCUGGGUGUGGUCGACGAAAUCGAGUGAAGCGAAUGUGUGUACCUCAAAGGGUCACUUUCUCGCUGUUUCCUAUUUCAUCGAUCUUUGCGCUAUUGCAACACCUUAGUGGUUGCAUUAUAGUAUCCCAGAGAUUGUCAUUUCUCACUGUCCCGUCUUGAAACACGGACCAAGGAGUCUAACUUAUGUGCGAGUACAAGGGUUGAAAACCCACGUGCGAAAUGAAAGUAAUUGUCAGGAAGGGCAACCUGCACUGACGCCCAGCUGCCAAGCUGAGGCUGAGCAUAUAGGUUAGGACCCGAAAGAUGGUGAACUAUGCCUGAGUAGGGUGAAGCCUGAGGAAACUCUGGUGGAAGCUCGUAGCGAUACUGACGUGCAAAUCGUUCGUCAAACUUGGGUAUAGGGGCGAAAGACUAAUCGAACCAUCUAGUAGCUGGUUCCCUC